rfam:Trachymyrmex cornetzi contig46026, whole genome shotgun sequence.
CAAACGGCCCUUUUCAGGGCCACAUAAAAGUACCAACAAUCGGCCCU